rnacentral:rRNA from 1 species
UACAGAGGUCUCAAGCGUUGUUCGGAUUCAUUGGGCGUAAAGGGUGUGUAGGUGGCGCGCUAAGUCGGGUGUGAAAUUUCGGAGCUUAACUCCGAAACUGCAUUCGAUACUGGCGUGCUUGAGGACUGGAGAGGAGACUGGAAUUUACGGUGUAGCAGUGAAAUGCGUAGAUAUCUGGAGGAACACCGGUGGCGAAGGCGGCAUCCUGGACCAACACUGACGCUGAGGAGCGAAAAGCAUGGGUAGCAAACAGG